ACGAUCACAGACGUCCUGGCCACGUCGGAACCCAAACCUGUCUCUAGGCGGAACCUGGUUCUAAAGCACUUCAAAGAUGAGCGUUCCGUCAUUGAGCUGGAAUAGCUUAAACUGCAGGGUAGAGGAGCAGCUGAAGUUUGAGGUGACAUACAUUGGGGUGGAAACACCAGGAAGACUGAAGCCCUCCUAGGGAAAGGGAUUUAACCCCAGUUUGGCCUUGCCAGCACUGCGCUUCCUGGUUCUGGACUGGAAUUGGAGGGACCAGAAGCUUUGCAUGAUGGUGGACAUCCCUGAGGUCGAAACUGACUUGCUGAAGCUGCUGGAUACGGGCAUCUUGAAAGACUGUAGAGAAGGAAAAUUCAAAGUGGGACUCUUCUGAUACACAUACACACACACCGGUUGUCGUACUCUGCCCUCUGCCAUAGACUGACACACAAAACACACCCAACCAUUUCGAACUGGACCUCUUCUGCUCUCACACAAGCACACACACCAAAGUUGUUUUUGUAGUAAACAAAAACUGAAACAAAAAUUGGAAAAACAAUUGCAAAACAAACUGCAAAACGAACUAAAAUAAAAUAAAAAAUAACAAUUAUUUAUGUUUAGUUUAAGUUUUAUUCUGAAGUUUGAGCAAAAAUCGAAUGUUUCUUUUGUUGUUGACGUUUCGUUUUGAUUUACAUUUGGUUGAGAUG